rnacentral:rRNA from 1 species
GAUGAACGCUAGCGGCAGGCCUAAUACAUGCCAGUCGGACGGGAUUCAGGAGCUUGCUUCUGAUGAGAGUGGCGCACGGGUGCGUAACACGUAUGUAACCUACCUUUAUCAGGGGGAUAGCCUCUCGAAAGAGAGAUUAAGCCCGCAUAAAAUCACAGCACAGCAUUGUGUAAUGAUCAAAUAUUUAUAGGAUAAAGAUGGGCAUGCGGAACAUUAGCUAGAUGGCGGGGUAACGGCCCACCAUGGCGACGAUGUUUAGGGGAUCUGAGAGGAUGGCCCCCCACACUGGUACUGAGACACGGACCAGACUCCUACGGGAGGCAGCAGUAAGGAAUAUUGGUCAAUGGGCGGAAGCCUGAACCAGCCAUGCCGCGUGCAGGAAGACGGCCCUACGGGUUGUAAACUGCUUUUAUACGGGAAUAAACCCAGAUACGUGUAUCUGGCUGAAUGUACUGUAAGAAUAAGGAUCGGCUAACUCCGUG